UACGGAGGGUGCGAGCGUUAUCCGGAAUUACUGGGUUUAAAGGGUGCGUAGGCGGCUAUGUAAGUCAGGAGUGAAAGUUUGCGGCUCAACCGUAAAAUUGCUUUUGAUACUGCAUGGCUAGAAUUAGGUUGAGGUUAGCGGAAUGUGGCAUGUAGCGGUGAAAUGCAUAGAUAUGCCAUAGAACACCAAUUGCGAAGGCAGCUGGCUAGACCUGGAUUGACGCUGAGGCACGAAAGCGUGGGGAGCGAACAGG
rnacentral:rRNA from 1 species